rnacentral:rRNA from 1 species
AUGGGCACGACGAGACCGACGAGCGGGGAGAUGCCGGCACCGAACAUCAUCGACCAGGUGCGCGAGGACGCCAUCAUUGCCGCCAUUUUCGGCUCCGUCGCCCACUUCGUCAAGGGCAUCUGCACCUCCCCAAACGGGAGCCGCCUCGCCGGCGGCUUUCUGGCGGUCCCUGAGAACGCGCUCGCCGUCGGCCGUUGGGCAGCCUGGUUUGGCGUUGUCAAGGCGACUAGGUGCACCGUGCUGCAUGUGUCCCCGGUUACCCCUUUGAAAGCACGGUCGCCUUGGGAGUCACCGACACCCUCUUCUCCAUGCAUCACGGGCCACGCGUGGCCCUCCGCAACGGGUUGA